CAAGAAUACAGACUACAUUAGCUCCAGUGCUUUGCAGGUCAGUACUUUGGCCACUUGAUGCGAAGAGCUGACUCAUUAGAAAAUAAGACCCUGGUGCUGAGAAAGAUUGAAGGCAGAAGGAGAAGGGGACAACAGAGGAUGAGAUGGUUGGAUGACAUCACCGACUCGAUAGACAUGAGUUUGAGCAAGCUCCAGGAGAUGGUGAUGGACAGGGAAGCCUGGCGUGCUGCCGUCCAUGGGGUCACAAAGAAUCAGACACGAUUCAUGAGACCCAGCCUUCAAAAGGAUACCUGCCAGUAGAACCCUCAACUUUUAGAAGAUAAAGUUUGGAAGGAAAACACAACUGUGAAGACUUCUGUGUGACCUGGAAAAUGUAUCCCCCUGGGCUUUAGUUUCCUUGUCUAUGAAAUAAAGAGAUCGGAAUAAAAGACUGUCUAAUGCUUCUAGUUAAAAGAUUUUAUAAUUGGAUAAUGAUCAUCAAACAGAAUUCAUUAACACUGAGUCA